CCUACGUGAGGCAGCAGUAGGGAAUAUUGCUCAAUGGGGGAAACCCUGAAGCAGCAACGCCGCGUGGAGGAUGAAGGUUUUCGGAUUGUAAACUCCUUUUGUUAGAGAAGAUAAUGACGGUAUCUAACGAAUAAGCACCGGCUAACUCCGUGCCAGCAGCCGCGGUAAUACGGAGGGUGCACGCGUUACUAGGAAUCACUGGGCGUAAAGCGCGCGUAGGCGGGAUAGCAAGGCAGAUGUGAAAUCCUAUGGCGUAACCAUAGAACUGCAUUUGAAACUGUUAUUCUAGAGUAUGGGAGAGGUAGGUGGAAGUCUUGGUGUAGGGGUAAAAUCCGUAGAGAUCAAGAGGAAUACUCAUUGCGAAGGCGACCUGCUAGAACAUAACUGACGCUGAUGCGCGAAAGCGUGGGGAGCAAACAGGAGUAGAUACCCGGGUAGUC
rnacentral:rRNA from 1 species